ensembl:lncRNA
ACAUAACCAGGGCCGGCCCUAGCCUUUUGGAAGCCCUAAGCAAAAUUAGAUUUGGGGGCCCCCCCUCUUCCCUAUUGGUCUGGGGCUCACUAGGGGACUGGGGCCCCUUAGAGGUCGGGGGCCCUAAGCGACCGCAUAUGUUGUUUAUGCCUAGGGCUGGCCCUGAACAUAACAAAUGUUCCUAGUAGGUAAAACUGAAAUACACUGGAACUCCACACCUAACAACCCACCCUUAUUUUGGAAUUGCUUCAGCAUGUGGAAAGCAUACCAUAGAGACUACUCCUACUGUUAGUUGUCCAGUGGUUGCUCCUGGUAUUACAAGUAGAGUUUCUCCCCGUACCAGAGGAGCCAUCCAGUGUGUGCCUUCUUAAAGCCUUUAUAAUAGCUAAACCAACUGACAUAAGGUGACUUGAACAUACAGAUAAGUGAUAAACAACAACUCACUACAUUGUGAAAACAUGGUACGACAAGUUCAACUACACGAAAGACAGUGUCGUCACUGCGUGCCCAUGAAACAUGAAUCAAGUUUAAUGAAAUGAUUGCACAUAGCUAAACCCAGUUGUUCAUAUACCAAACCGUACGCACGUUUGUGGCUAUCUUUCUGCUGUCCAAGGCACCUCAUUGCACCGCACUUUGGUUGGCCCUUGUUGUUUUUAAAUGUGCUUUAUGAAUAAAUGUGACUUGACUUGUAUGUGUAAACCGUUGCAGUAGUUUCUUAACUAAAACCUACACACUUUAUUUCUAUUAAAGCGAAGGAUCCGGUUUUAGUGGAGUUUUUCAAUAUCUGCAUCUAGUCAUUCUAUAGCUACCCGGUCCAGUGUAUAAGCAGAUACUAACCAGAGUAAUGUUCCCAGAUUAGACUUUGGAAUUGAGCAACGUGUAUCCUAGCUACAUGGUCUGGUUGUCAGGGACUCUGUGGCACACAAACAGAACAGUGUGGUGCUGGUAGUGAAGGCAGACAGAGAGAGAGAGAGAGAGAGAGACGGAGAAUGCGAGUGGGAGAGAACAGUCCGUGCUAGCGGAAAAAAGCACUGUGUUUCUGUAUGUGCGCAUGUGUGUGUGUGUUUGUGUGUGUGAGAGAGAGGGAGGAAGAUAGAGAGAGAAAGAGAGAGAGAGAGAGAGACGCCUUGGACCAGAAGUGAUUCCAAAUGUUGGAUUGUGACUGAACUCCCCACACAGCAGUGGGAGCCACAGAGAAAAAGAAGUCAGAAGGAAAGAAGUUUAACAGAGGGAGGAACAAGACAAGCAGAUAGACAAAAUGUGAGAUGAAAAGAAGGAAACCAGUGGUGAAAAUGAGGGGGGGAAUUAAGAGAGAGUGAGAGAAACAAAACAGUAGAGAAAACCAUGAAUGACAUGCAGUAGGAAUAGUUAUCAGGGAAGGUUGGCCAGGCUGAGUUGAGUGGUUAUCUGGGUAGGUUGGCCAGGCUGAGUUGAGUGGUUAUCUGGGUAGGUUGGCCAGGCUGAGUUGAGUGGUUAUCUGGGUAGGUUGGCCAGGCUGAGUUGAGUGGUUA